AUACGGAGGGUGCGAGCGUUGUUCGGAAUUACUGGGCGUAAAGGGCGCGCAGGCGGCUUGAUAAGUCAGAUGUGAAAGCCCACGGCUCAACCGUGGAAGUGCAUCUGAAACUGUCUGGCUUGAGUACUAGAGAGGAAAGUGGAAUUCCUGGUGUAGAGGUGAAAUUCGUAGAUAUCAGGAGGAACACCGGUGGCGAAGGCGACUUUCUGGACAGAUACUGACGCUGAGGCGCGAAAGCGUGGGGAGCAAACAGGAUUAGAAACCCCAGUAGUCC
rnacentral:rRNA from 1 species